AGGUGCUUAGUUCAGCGGUAAGAAUAGCCGUCUUCAAAACGGUUGACGUGAGUUCGAUCCUCGCAGCGCCUG
rnacentral:tRNA from 1 species